GUGGGGAAUAUUGGACAAUGGGCGAAAGCCUGAUCCAGCCAUGCCGCGUGUGUGAAGAAGGUCUUCGGAUUGUAAAGCACUUUAAGUUGGGAGGAAGGGCAGUAAGUUAAUACCUUGCUGUUUUGACGUUACCGACAGAAUAAGCACCGGCUAACUUCGUGCCAGCAGCCGCGGUAAUACGAAGGGUGCAAGCGUUAAUCGGAAUUACUGGGCGUAAAGCGCGCGUAGGUGGUUUUGUAAGUUGGAGGUGAAAUCCCCGGGCUCAACCUGGGAACUGCCUCCAAAACUGCAUGACUAGAGUACGGUAGAGGGUAGUGGAAUUUCCUGUGUAGCGGUGAAAUGCGUAGAGAUAGGAAGGAACACCAGUGGCGAAGGCGACUACCUGGACUGAUACUGACACUGAGGUGCGAAAGCGUGGGGAGCAAACAGGAUUAGAAACCCGUGUAGUCC
rnacentral:rRNA from 1 species